rnacentral:rRNA from 1 species
AGCGAACGCUGGCGGCAGGCCUAACACAUGCAAGUCGAGCGCCCAGCAAUGGGAGCGGCAGACGGGUGAGUAACACGUGGGGAUCUACCCAAUGGUACGGAAUAACCCAGGGAAACUUGGAUUAAUACCGUAUGUGCCCUUCGGGGGAAAGAUUUAUCGCCAUUGGAUGAACCCGCGUCGGAUUAGCUAGUUGGUGAGGUAAAGGCUCACAAAGGCGACGAUCCGUAGCUGGUCUGAGAGGAUGAUCAGCCACACUGGGACUGAGACACGGCCCAGACUCCUACGGGAGGCAGCAGUGGGGAAUAUUGGACAAUGGGCGCAAGCCUGAUCCAGCCAUGCCGCGUGAGUGAUGAAGGCCUUAGGGUUGUAAAGCUCUUUCGCCGGUGAAGAUAAUGACGGUAACCGGAGAAGAAGCCCCGGCUAACUACGUGCCAGCCGCCGCGGUAAAAC